GGCCUCUGGGCCUCGUGUCCAUCAGCCAAAUAACUCACGUAAACAUCACUAUGUAUUCACAGGGUCAUGGUUUCGGGAGUGUUCUAAGUGUUUAAAGUAUUCCAAUCAGAAAGCUGGAUGUUCUGUCACUCUACCCAGGAGUGCAGUCAGAAUAAUUUCUAAUUCAAGAGGACACUGGUCCAUGGCUAUCUUUCUUUUCUUACUGUAUCUUGUAACUCUUCUCUGGUGCUUUAUCGAGAUUUACCAGAUGGCCCUGGAUUGAUUUGCCAAAGAUCCACCCAGGAAUCCUGACUCAUUACAGAAGGGUGGAGAUUUUCUGAGCUAAGCGAGAGACUUUUCCUCAGAGGUCAUUUUCUCUUCCACUUCUCCUGAGGCAACUCCUGCAGCCAGCCCCCAAGGACAGAAUCAGAUAAUAGGAAUUCAAAAACCUAACUUAACUGUGAGCCAUGUUACAAGCUUCAAGACCUUCAGCAACAGCCAGUUUUACUGAG
rnacentral:lncRNA from 1 species